GACAGAGGGUGCAAACGUUGUUCGGAAUUACUGGGCGUAAAGCGUGUGUAGGCGGUCUCUUAAGUCGGAUGUGAAAGCCCCGGGCUCAACCCGGGAAGUGCACUCGAAACUGGGAGGCUAGAGUACUGGAGAGGUUGGUGGAAUUCUCGGUGUAGAGGUGAAAUUCGUAGAUAUCGAGAGGAACACCGGUAGCGAAGGCGGCCAACUGGACAGAUACUGACGCUGAGACACGAAAGCGUGGGGAGCAAACAGG
rnacentral:rRNA from 1 species